GAUGAACGCUGGCGGCGUGCCUAAUACAUGCAAGUCGAGCGAACAGACGAGGAGCUUGCUCCUCUGACGUUAGCGGCGGACGGGUGAGUAACACGUGGAUAACCUACCUAUAAGACUGGGAUAACUUCGGGAAACCGGAGCUAAUACCGGAUAAUAUAUUGAACCGCAUGGUUCAAUAGUGAAAGACGGUUUUGCUGUCACUUCUAGAUGGAUCCGCGCCGCAUUAGCUAGUUGGUAAGGUAACGGCUUACCAAGGCAACGAUGCGUAGCCGACCUGAGAGGGUGAUCGGCCACACUGGAACUGAGACACGGUCCAGACUCCUACGGGAGGCAGCAGUAGGGAAUCUUCCGCAAUGGGCGAAAGCCUGACGGAGCAACGCCGCGUGAGUGAUGAAGGUCUUCGGAUCGUAAAACUCUGUUAUUAGGGAAGAACAACUGUGUAAUUAACUAUGCACGUCUUGACGGUACCUAAUCAGAAAGCCACGGCUAACUACGUG
rnacentral:rRNA from 1 species